CUGAAAUCAGGUGAGAGUACCC
rnacentral:rRNA from 1 species